CCUACGGGAGGCAGCAGUGGGGAAUAUUGGACAAUGGGCGAAAGCCUGAUCCAGCAAUGCCGCGUGAGUGAUGAAGGCCUUCGGGUCGUAAAGCUCUUUUACCAGGGAUGAUAAUGACAGUACCUGGAGAAUAAGCUCCGGCUAACUCCGUGCCAGCAGCCGCGGUAAUACGGAGGGAGCUAGCGUUGUUCGGAAUUACUGGGCGUAAAGAGUACGUAGGCGGUUAUUCAAGUCAGAGGUGAAAGCCCGGGGCUCAACCCCGGAACUGCCUUUGAAACUAGAUAACUAGAGUCUUGGAGAGGUUAGCGGAAUUCCGAGUGUAGAGGUGAAAUUCGUAGAUAUUCGGAAGAACACCAGUGGCGAAGGCGACUAACUGGACAAGUACUGACGCUGAGGUACGAAAGCGUGGGGAGCAAACAGGAUUAGAUACCCUGGUAGUCCACGCCGUAAACGAUGAUAACUAGUUGUUCGGUCACUUGGUGACUGAGUGACGCAGCUAACGCAUUAAGUUAUCCGCCUGGGGAGUACGGUCGCAAGAUUAAAACUCAAAGGAAUUGACGGCUGAAGAGUGCGAGACGACGACGAGGAGAGG
rnacentral:rRNA from 1 species